ACGGACGGACGGAGGAGCCCCAGCCACACCGGGACCUGCGUGGGGUGAGGAGCCCCGGGAAGGAGCCGGUCUGCCUGCGCUGAGGCUGAUGCUGCCGCCUGCCCCGUGACGGGGGACAGCGUGGCCUGCGCCCCCCCGGAGACCUGUGAGGACGGCACCGCUCCAGCUCCGUACGGCUUCAGGUCCGGCUCCUGGACGGCCGCAGUUCGAUUUUGGCUCCAGCUCAUUUGUGGCUCCUGUUUGUUUCUGCGCUGGUUCCAGUCCAGCAGAUGGACGGCUCCAGCCCCAGCUCCUUGCGGCUCCAGCUCAUGGAUGGCUCUGGCUCGUUUCUGCUCCUGUUCCUUGUGGCUCCAGCUCAUUUGCACCUUCAGUUUUGGCUCCAGCUCGUUUGCGGCUCCUGUUUGUGUCUGCUCUGGAUUCAGUCCGGCUCAUGGACGGCUCCAGCUCGAUUCCAGCUCGUUGCGACUCCAGCUCAUGGAUGGCUCUGGCUCAUUUCAGCUCCUGCUUGUUGUGACUCCAGCUCAUUUGCACCUUCAGGUCCAGCUCCUGGUGGGCUCCAGUUGGGUUUCAUCUCCUGGGCAGUUUUGGCUCCAGCCCAUUGAUGGUUCCAGCUCGUUUUCGCCUCCAGCUCUUGGGUGGUUCCAGCUCUGGCUCCAGCCCCAGCCCAUCACAG